UACGUAGGGUGCGAGCGUUAAUCGGAAUUACUGGGCGUAAAGCGUGCGCAGGCGGUUUUGUAAGCCAGAUGUGAAAUCCCCGGGCUUAACCUGGGAAUGGCAUUUGGGACUGCAAGGCUUGAGUGCGGCAGAGGAGACUGGAAUUCCUGGUGUAGCAGUGAAAUGCGCAGAUAUCAGGAAGAACACCGGUGGCGAAGGCGGCCUCCUGGACGGUGACUGACGCUGAGACGCGAAAGCGUGGGGAGCAAACAGG
rnacentral:rRNA from 1 species